rnacentral:rRNA from 1 species
GGCUGUGCGGCGGCUUACAUAUGCAGUCGAGCGGAACGAUGGUAGCUUGCUACCAGGCGUCGAGCGGCGGACGGGUGAGUAAUACUUAGGAAUCUACCUAGUAGUGGGGGAUAGCUCGGGGAAACUCGAAUUAAUACCGCAUACGACCUACGGGAGAAAGGGGGCAACUUGUUGCUCUCGCUAUUAGAUGAGCCUAAGUCGGAUUAGCUAGAUGGUGGGGUAAAGGCCUACCAUGGCGACGAUCUGUAGCUGGUCUGAGAGGAUGAUCAGCCACACCGGGACUGAGACACGGCCCGGACUCCUACGGGAGGCAGCAGUGGGGAAUAUUGGACAAUGGGGGAAACCCUGAUCCAGUCAUGCCGCGUGUGUGAAGAAGGCCUUUUGGUUGUAAAGCACUUUAAGCAGUGAAGAAGACUCCUCGGUUAAUACUCGUGGACGAUGACAUUAGCUGCAGAAUAAGCACCGGCUAACUCUGUGCCAGCAGCCGCGGUAAUACAGAGGGUGCAAGCGUUAAUCGGAAUUACUGGGCGUAAAGCGAGCGUAGGUGGCUUGAUAAGUCAGAUGUGAAAUCCCCGGGCUUAACCUGGGAACUGCAUCUGAAACUGUUAGGCUAGAGUAGGUGAGAGGAAGGUAGAAUUCCAGGUGUAGCGGUGAAAUGCGUAGAGAUCUGGAGGAAUACCGAUGGCGAAGGCAGCCUUCUGGCAUCAUACUGACACUGAGGCUCGAAAGCGUGGGUGGCAACCAGGAUUAGAUACCCUGGUAGUCCACGCCGUAAACGAUGUCUACUAGUCGUUGGGUCCCUUGAGGACUUAGUGACGCAGCUAACGCAAUAAGUAGACCGCCUGGGGAGUACGGGCCGCAAGGUUAAAACUCAAAUGACUUGACGGGGCCCGCACAAGCGGUGGAGCAUGUGUUUUAAUUCGAUGCAACGCGAGACCUUACCUGGUCUUGACAUAUCUAGAUCCUGCAGAGAUGCGGGAGUGCCUUCGGGAAUUAGAAUACAGGUGCUGCAUGCUGUCGUCAGCUCGUG